rnacentral:rRNA from 1 species
UCGGGUACUUUAGUGGCGAACGGGUGAGUAAUACAUAGGUAACCUACCCUUAAGACGAGGAUAGCCAUUGGAAACGAUGGAUAAAACUGGAUAGGAUAUAGAGGAAGAAUCUUUUAUAUUUAAAAGAGAGAUCUGCUUAAGGAGGGGCCUGUGGCGCAUUAGCUAGUUGGUGGGGUAAGGGCCUACCAAGGCGAUGAUGCGUAGCCGGACUGAGAGGUUGAACGGCCACAAUGGAACUGAGAACGGUCCAUACUCCUACGGGAGGCAGCAGUAGGGAAUUUUCGGCAAUGGGGGGAACCCUGACCGAGCAACGCCGCGUGAACGAAGAAGUUAUUCGUAAUGUAAAGUUCUUUUAUCAGGGAAGAAAGAGGAAUUUGACGGUACCUGAGGAAUAAGCUCCGGCUAACUACGUGCCAGCAGCCGCGGUAAUACGUAGGGAGCGAGCGUUAUCCGGAAUCAUUGGGCGUAAAGGGUGCGUAGAUGGCAUAGUAAGUCUUUUGUAAAAAUGCUGGGCUCAACCCAGUAGGGCAAAAGAUACUGCAAAGCUAGAGUAUGACAGAGGCAAGUGGAACUACAUGUGUAGCGGUAAAAUGCGUAAAUAUAUGUAAGAACACCAGUGGCGAAGGCGGCUUGCUGGGUCGAUACUGACAUUGAGGCACGAAAGCGUGGGGAGCAAACAGGAUUAGAUACCCUGGUAGUCCACGCCCUAAACGAUGAGUACUAAGUGUUGGUGAGAAUCAGUGCUGAAGUUAACGCAUUAAGUACUCCGCCUGAGUAGUACGUACGCAAGUAUGAAACUUAAAGGAAUUGACGGGAGCCCGCACAAGCGGUGGAGCAUGUUGUUUAAUUCGACGAUACGCGAAGAACCUUACCAGGUCUUGAC